rnacentral:rRNA from 1 species
UACGGAGGGUGCAAGCGUUAUCCGGAAUUACUGGGCGUAAAGAGCUCGUAGGUGGUUUGUCGCGUUGUUCGUGAAAACUCACAGCUUAACUGUGGGCGUGCGGGCGAUACGGGCAGACUGGAGUACUGCAGGGGAGACUGGAAUUCCUGGUGUAGCGGUGGAAUGCGCAGAUAUCAGGAGGAACACCGGUGGCGAAGGCGGGUCUCUGGGCAGUAACUGACGCUGAGGAGCGAAAGCGUGGGGAGCGAACAGG